UACGGAGGGGGCUAGCGUUGUUCGGAAUUACUGGGCGUAAAGCGCACGUAGGCGGCUUUGUAAGUUAGAGGUGAAAGCCCAGGGCUUAACCCUGGAAUUGCCUUUAAGACUGCAUCGCUAGAAUUGUGGAGAGGUAAGUGGAAUUCCGAGUGUAGAGGUGAAAUUCGUAGAUAUUCGGCGGAACACCAGUGGCGAAGGCGGCUCACUGGCCCGGUACUGACGCUGAUGUGCGAAAGCGUGGGGAGCAACAGG
rnacentral:rRNA from 1 species